rnacentral:miRNA from 1 species
GUUCAGAUUUGUUUCUGUCUGGCACAGUGAACAGCAGGAAUGAUUGUAGCUGUUCCCUUUGCCAAGGACAAAUCUGAUCU